rnacentral:rRNA from 1 species
AACGAACGCUGGCGGCGCGCCUAAUACAUGCAAGUCGAACGAGAAUGUGUAGCAAUACACAUGUACAGUGGCGAACGGGUGAGGACUACAUGGGUAACCUACCCUCGAGUGGGGAAUAACUAGCCGAAAGGUUAGCUAAUACCGCGUACGCUUCCCGGACUGCGGUUCGGGAAGGAAGCGAUACCGUGGGUAUCGCGCUCUUGGAUGGGCUCAUGCCCUAUCAGCUUGUUGGUGAGGUAACGGCUCACCAAGGCUUCGACGGGUAGCUGAUCUGAGAGGAUGAUCAGCCACACUGGCACUGCGACACGGGCCAGACUCCUACGGGUGGCUG